GAAAAAUUAAAGAACACUCAAAAUCAACCGUGACAACUCUCAAGUCCAAAAUCGAUGAUGGAGAUUGGUUUCGAAAGUGUUUGCAUUUCUGUUCUUCUCUCAAUCUGUAGCUCAAUUUGAGCAAUUCAAAAAGCUUUUCAAAGAUCUCAACAUCAAGUUUUCGUCCCUUUUCGCGCUGCCAAAUUUCCCAAAAAAUCUAGGGUUUUUUUGGGGGGGUUUAAUCUGUAAAUCCCAUGUUUGUUGAAGAUAGCAAUGUUUAGAUGUGGCAGUGUUGUUGUUUUUUCCUUCUAGGGUUUUGCUAAAUUUGAGUGGAAUCAAUGGGUGCCCUAACGAGCAAUCGAAAGCGCGGUGACGAUUACUUCACGAAUUACAAAUUCCCAUCUUUAUUUCCUCCCAAUUUCGAUACUCGAAUCGAUUCUCACAUCUCGAAGAAGCCCAAGAUCUCAUCGUAUAUGAAUCUGAGUCCCGAAUGGUCUGUUUCCAACUCGAAAAGUGCGGCUUCCAGGAUAUACCGAUACCCCGAACCAGUUAAUCCGUUUCAGAGGAAAGUCCAUGCUCCUUGUAGAGCCUCCAGAUUAGGGUUUUGGUUUAGUUCUAGUUCGAAUCGAGAGUCGAGGCCGAGUUGUAAUGGGGUUGUGAAGAAAGAGGGUUUAGCUGAUUUAAUGGGGAAUGCUCUGAGUUUUCGAUACGAUCAGGCAAAGAAUUGCGCUUUCGAGACUCUUCGGUAUCUGAAAAAGGAUAAGGAAGUGAUUGAUGUUGAUGAAGAGACCGAUAAAGAUGGUGUUUCUGAGGAUUCGAGUAUUGAGGAGGCUGGAGCUGUAGAAGAUGGGCGUGAAUGCAAGUCAGUGGUUAAUAGGGUUGUGCCCAUUUUGCCUGAAUUGGAUGGGAAGGUUGUGGAGGUUAAUUUUCAGCCCUCUUCAUCUUCGGUGGUUACUGAAUUGGCGGCGAAUGCGAAUUUGAAAGUGGAAACGGCGGGGAAGAUGUUGGACUCGCUUUCGCUGAAUCGGGAAGUAGAUGUUUCGGGUUUGCCAGUGCACAAAAAGUUGUGGGAGACUGCAGAGAGGCGGAACCCUAAGCUGAGCAGCUUGAGUUUUCAAAUUGAAGUAAAUGAGAAGCGCCGUGCUUCACUUCAGCUACUUCGCCCCGUGAAGAAGCCAGUGGAGGAGGACGUACUUCAAGACGUGCUUCGCGAAGCUUUUGUGCCUCUCACGAAGGAAGAAGAGGCUGAGGUUUCUCGAGCAUUAUCUCAUUCCAGUCGGAGGAAGGUUUUGGUUGCUCAUGAGAUCUCUAAUAUUGAGAUCACUGGAGAGGUUUUGCAAUGUUUGAGACCAGGGGCAUGGUUGAAUGAUGAGGUCAUAAAUAUGUAUCUUGAAUUACUAAAAGAAAGGGAAAAGAGGGAGCCCAAAAAGUUUUUGAAGUGUCAUUUCUUCAACACAUUCUUUUACAAGAAGUUAAUCAGUGGGAGGAAUGGCUAUGAUUUUAAAUCAGUCAGAAGAUGGACUACUCAAAGGAAAUUGGGAUAUUGUCUUCUUGAGUGUGAUAAAAUAUUUGUUCCUAUCCACAAAGAAGUUCACUGGUGCUUAGCAGUUAUAAACAAGAAGGAUGAGAAGUUCCAGUAUCUUGAUUCGCUCAGAGGAAUUGAUACUCGAGUGCUGAAAGUUCUGGCUAGGUACUUUGUGGAUGAGGUGAAGGACAAGAGUGGAGAAGACAUUGAUCUUAGUUCGUGGAAGCAAGAAUUUGUUGAGGACCUUCCUGAACAGGAAAAUGGAAAGUAGUUUUCAGCUAUUUGGUUAUAUUGAUUCAUUGGAUGGCGAACGACACCGCUUUGCACAGGAAUUGGUUAAAAGGGAAGUUUUGAGAAGUUACUUAACUUUAACUUGUGUCUACUUAUCAUUGAUAGGAAAUGUACUUUAUCUCAAGAGGAUGCAAAUAUUUCUUCAUGUUGUCUGGGGAAAUUCCAGAAACUCUUACCGAAAAAAAAAAAGAAAAUUGCAGAAGAAUAAAAUUUGUGUUUUUGUAUGUGAGGACUUCAUUAGAUCUGAUGAAUGGUUUCUAAAACUGACCUAAGAAAAAUUACUGCAAAAAUUAGGGUUUAAGCGCACAAUUACUUGUUUUCCAUUCUGUGGGCAUAAUUCCUGUCAAUUAUAUAGGCUAUCUUGUCUUCAUAUGUCCGUAAUUCACAUUCAAUUUCUGCUUUUGGGGCUGUUUGUUACAGCUUUUAGGAGUUGAUUAUAGCUUAUUUUAAUUUGGGAGUAUAUGCCAGACUGUUUGGUGCAGCUUCAACUUAUAGCUUAUUAGGCAGAAACAGCUUAAAUAAGCUGAAAAAACUAAUUAUUUGAAAGCUGGGGAAAGGGUGCUUUUAGCUUUUGCUUUAUGAUUAUUAGCUUUUAGCUUAAAAAAAGCACCACCAAACAGGGCCUUUGCCUUGGCAUUGUGGUUUCUUGGAGCAAUCCUUGAUUGGGUGGUCAUUUGCCUUUGGUGCUGAACCAUCUUAUCUGACUUCGUUGUGUUUUUUGUUGGUGGUGCCUCAAACUGUUUUUUUGGGUGGGUAUCCUCAAACUGUUCAUUUGUUUCUAAGUACUGAAAUGGCUGAUAUUCUUUCUCUGGAUAGGUGGGAUUGCGGCAUGUUCAUGAUCAAGUAUGCUGACUUUUAUAGCAGGGGUUUAGGACUCUGCUUCAACCAGGAACAUAUGCCAUAUUUUCGCCUACGGACUGCCAAGGAGAUUUUAAGACUGAAAGCCGAGUGAUGAUAUGAAUUUGAUUAUUUGGAAUUUGAUGCAUUGUUGUCAUCUCCCUUCUACAUUGGCAGAAAAUGGAUCUGCAUUGGAAGUUUGAUGGCAGUGAAGUUGUUGGGCAUGUGUUUAUGGAGGAUCUGUUUGCUUCAAUCAAAGCUUCUGGUGUGAAGGCAGUGUCGAGGUUAUGGUUAGGAGUUGGCUCGUUUCAUGGACAAAAUGGUAAAGAUGAUUUUGUCCGGGAAACCAUGUUAAAAGGCACAAGGGAAUCUGUACAAGGUAGGACAGGCAAUUUGUUUGUAGCUUAUCAAACCACAUGAGUUUUGUGAAAUUUAUCUUUUUGUAGGUCUGAGUUUGGAAUUAGGGUUCUUUAAACAAUUCAUUUUUCUUUUUUAUUUUGUUACUUUGGCUUCAUACUGGUGAUUUAAGUUGUUUUCACAAAUUCAAGAUCCAAACAGAAGUUACUGUUUUAUAGUAUUGCAAUUGUAAUGACAAGCAUGCAUCUCUUGACCCAUUC